rnacentral:rRNA from 1 species
UAUACCGUGAAACUGCGAAUGGCUCAUUAAAUCAGUUAUCGUUUAUUUGAUAGUACCUUACCACUUGGAUAACCGUGGUAAUUCUAGAGCUAAUACAUGCUAAAAACCCCGACUUCGGAAGGGGUGUGUUUAUUAGAUAAAAAACCAAUGCCCUUCGGGGCUCUUUGGUGAUUCAUGAUAACCUAACGGAUCGCAUGGCCUUGCGCCGGCGACGGUUCAUUCAAAUUUCUGCCCUAUCAACUUUCGAUGGUAAGGUAUUGGCUUACCAUGGUUUCAACGGGUAACGGGGAAUUAGGGUUCGAUUCCGGAGAGGGAGCCUGAGAAACGGCUACCACAUCCAAGGAAGGCAGCAGGCGCGCAAAUUACCCAAUCCCGACACGGGGAGGUAGUGACAAUAAAUACUGAUAUAGGGCUCUUUUGGGUCUUGUAAUUGGAAUGAGUACAAUUUAAACCCCUUAACGAGGAACAAUUGGAGGGCAAGUCUGGUGCCAGCAGCCGCGGUAAUUCCAGCUCCAAUAGCGUAUAUUAAAGUUGUUGCAGUUAAAAAGCUCGUAGUUGAAACUUGGGUCUGGCUAGCGGGUCCGCCUCACCGCGUGCACUUGUCCGGCUGGACCUUUCCUUCUGGAGAACCUCAUGCCCUUCACUGGGUGUGUUGGGGAACCAGGACUUUUACUUUGAAAAAAUUAGAGUGUUCAAAGCAGGCCUUUGCUCGAAUACGUUAGCAUGGAAUAAUAGAAUAGGACGUGCGGUCCUAUUUUGUUGGUUUCUAGGAUCGCCGUAAUGAUUAAUAGGGAUAGUCGGGGGCAUCAGUAUUCAAUUGUCAGAGGUGAAAUUCUUGGAUUUAUUGAAGACUAACUACUGCGAAAGCAUUUGCCAAGGAUGUUUUCAUUAAUCAGUGAACGAAAGUUAGGGGAUCGAAGACGAUCAGAUACCGUCGUAGUCUUAACCGUAAACUAUGCCGACUAGGGAUCGGGCGAUGUUUCUAUCUUGACUCGCUCGGCACCUUACGAGAAAUCAAAGUU